UCCUUCUCUUUUUGCUCCAAUUGACGUAAAGCAUUUACUUCAAUCUUUCAGGCAAACAGGUAGAAGUUUCCUUCUGGUCCAGCUCUGAUAUCUGGGCACAGCUAGGUGGCAAAAGGCAUCCCCAGCAACUUGUUGCACCUGCAUGCAGCUGCCCUCAGCCAGCUCAGUGAGGGCGAGAUGGCUGGCUUUUCCUGGGCAGCGCUCCGUGGUAAAUUCAGGUCUCUGCUCGCAGCAGAACCGAGAGAAGAUUUGUGACAGAUGGGGCUAAGUCACAAACUUGCAGCCUCAGGCAGAAUUGUGGAAGUUUCCAGAGUGUGCCCAUAUUUACCUGAUCAGAGAGAAAAGAAAAUCUGCAGAGGAAGCCGAGCCUGGCUGCUUGUCAUAGCUGACACAGAGCCAUCUGCCACAAACCUGUGGCGGCUUCAGAUCUCCAAUCCCUGCCACCACCCCAGCUCAAAUUAAAUACAGAUUCUUAGAGACGUUAUGAUGGUUACACAUGUCCUCGGCAUCACAUGCAGGAGACUGUUCAAAAAAAAUAUGUGGCCUGUUGUAUAACCGCACUCAUGUAUCCCAUAUGUGGUGCCACAUUGAAUUUCCGGUUGAAUCUGUUUUUAUCCUUUGUACUGGAUGACAUGGUGCCUGAAUUCUUUCUUUUCGCCGACACGAUGGCAGCCAAGCUGCAGCUUCAAACGCUCACACUUGGCUGGGUUUCUACCUAGGUUGCCAGGUUAUCAUUGGAGCCUUAUUGUGUCCUCAAAGGGCCACAGGGCCUGAAAGGAGGAUCCGAGUGCUACCGGACUAAUUGGGCAGCCAUCUCGGAAUUGUUUGUAGGCAAAGGGCUGCUUUAGCACUUUUCUUUUUGCAAAUUAAUGACUCUCUGGCACAGGGGUUUUUAAGUGAAGGUAUUAAUAAGGGGUCUGGCAGGUAAUCCCAUGAUUCGCGGAGUUACAUUUGCAUUUAAUUAAUCUUAAAGAAAGCUGAAAGAUAAACAGCUGUAAUUCAAACUAGCAUGGGAAAUAUGCUACGUGGUGCCAUCUAUCCGAUAAAAUGAAAGCUGAGACACUUGUUUUAUUUCUCUCAAGGAUGGAGAACAAACAGAUAACAGCCAAAAUACUUCCAAUAAAAAGUAGUAGUUGGACUGUAACGGCCGUUCAUCAAGCAUCUUUGCAUCCCGUUACGAAUACAGUCUUUUAAAGAUAAAUCACUUAUGAUUCCAGCAGUCAAGCUUCUAUAUUUGUUGAUGUAAAAUGUUUUGAAGAUGGAGAUUGUACAAUAAAUUUUUAAUAAAGUGCCCACUGCAAUUUUUAAUUAGCAUAUCUCAUUCAUGUAUAAGUGUGUACAUCUAUCUGUAUGUUUAUCAGUAUGCACAUCCUUGUGUCAGAGUCAAUGAAUGCAAUUGUGUCUUUAUCUGAUGAAGUCGAAUCUGCUUUGCAAGUGGUAAUAAAAUGUUCUGACAAUUCCAA